AUGCAGUCGAACGGUAACAGGUCUUCGGACGCUGACGAGUGGCGAACGGGUGAGUAAUACAUCGGAACGUGCCCAGUCGUGGGGGAUAACUACUCGAAAGAGUAGCUAAUACCGCAUACGAUCUGAGGAUGAAAGCGGGGGACCUUCGGGCCUCGCGCGAUUGGAGCGGCCGAUGGCAGAUUAGGUAGUUGGUGGGAUAAAAGCUUACCAAGCCGACGAUCUGUAGCUGGUCUGAGAGGACGACCAGCCACACUGGGACUGAGACACGGCCCAGACUCCUACGGGAGGCAGCAGUGGGGAAUUUUGGACAAUGGGCGAAAGCCUGAUCCAGCAAUGCCGCGUGCAGGAUGAAGGCCUUCGGGUUGUAAACUGCUUUUGUACGGAACGAAAAAGCUUCUCCUAAUACGAGAGGCCCAUGACGGUACCGUAAGAAUAAGCACCGGCUAACUACGUGCCAGCAGCCGCGGUAAUACGUAGGGUGCGAGCGUUAAUCGGAAUUACUGGGCGUAAAGCGUGCGCAGGCGGUUAUGUAAGACAGAUGUGAAAUCCCCGGGCUCAACCUGGGAACUGCAUUUGUGACUGCAUGGCUAGAGUACGGUAGAGGGGGAUGGAAUUCCGCGUGUAGCAGUGAAAUGCGUAGAUAUGCGGAGGAACACCGAUGGCGAAGGCAAUCCCCUGGACCUGUACUGACGCUCAUGCACGAAAGCG
rnacentral:rRNA from 1 species